GUAGCUCAAGGAUUAAGCAUUUGGCUGCUAACCAAAAGGUUGAUGGUUUGAACCCAUUC
rnacentral:tRNA from 1 species